GGUUGUGGCUCAGUGAUAGAGCACUUGCCUAGCAUGCGUGAGGCACUGGGUUUGAUCCCCAGUACCA
rnacentral:tRNA from 1 species